rnacentral:rRNA from 1 species
AAUUUUUUUAUUUAUUGUUGGUGGCACCAGACACGACGGACGCGUGCGUCAUGCAUCAAGUCGAAAGAAGAGACGAAGAGCGUGAUCUUGCUCCGUGAGUGGCCGACGGGUGAGUAACAAGUGGAUAACCUUCUUCUAAGAAUGGGAUAAAUUCGGAAACCGGAGCUAAUUCAGGAUAAUAUAUUCAAGCGCAAGGAUCAGUAGUGUAAGCCGGCUUCACUGUCAUCAAUAGAGGGAUGCGCGGAUCAUUAAGUAGUUGGUAAAGUAACGGCUCAACAAGGCAAUCAUGAGUAGCUGACAGGAGAGGGUGAUUCACACACUGGAAAGAGACACGGUCCAGACUCCUACGGGAGGCAGCAGUAGAGAAUUUUCCAAUGGGGGAAAAAGCCAGCCGGACAAACGGCGUGUGAGAGAAAAAUGUUUUGAGAUUGUAAAACUUUGAUAUGAGGGAAGAACCAAUGAGUAAGUAACUAUGCAUGUCUAGAUGGCCAAUAAUCAGAAAGCCACGGCUAACUACGCCAGCACAGCCGCGGUAAUGAGUAGGUGGCAAGCGUUAUCCGGAAUUAUUGGGCGGAUAGCGCGGGUAGGCGGUUUUGUAAGUGGGAAGUGAAAGCCCCUCAACACCCAUGAAGGGUCAUUGGAAGCUUUAAAACGAAUUCCACAAGAUUAAGAAUUCCUCCGUACCUGUGAAUUGUUAGAGAUCUGGAGGAAUCCCGGUGGCGAAGGCGGCCCCCUGGACGAAGACUACGUCAGUCGAACUCAACCAGAUUAAACC